CUCUCACUGAUUUCUGGAACAGUUUCUCCACCUGACUGUUCAAGAUCUUUUCCUCUGCUUUCUCAGGUCCAU